rnacentral:rRNA from 1 species
UCAGGCAGCCAUAUCACCCUGCAGCCCAAUACUGGUUGCCCACUGAAGCUAAGCAGGGUUGAGCCUGGUCAGUACCUGGAUGGGAGACCUCCUGGGUAUUUCUAUAGUACAUUUAC